AUGCAGGAGGACUGCAUGUGUAUACAUAAGUCGCUGCGUCCGGCCGCUGCGCCCGCGUGUUUCCUACCUCUUUCCGCGGAGAUCGACGACGCCGAGGAGGACCUCCGGCGCGCGUUGCUUGCCACGGUCGCGGGGUGCAGGACCGGGGUCUCAUGUCGGGAGGUCUCCGACGUGAUCUGCUCGCGUUUUGGCAUCCCAGAGGCGCGCUUCUCGGUUCACCGCCACUUGCCGGAGGAUUUCCUCAUCCGCUUCCAGCGUGCGGAGGAUCGGGCCCUGGUGGCAAAUGAUGGCGUUCGCACCGCCCGUUUCCGCCUGCUGCUUCACCCGUGGAGCGCGCUUGUCGGUGCGGAGCAGGUGCGCGCCCGCUUCCGGGUGCACCUCGAGCUCACCGGUGUGCCUGAUCAUGUCUGGCACCGCGCCACCGCGGUCACGCUGCUCUCGCCGUUCUGCUUGGUGGAGCACCUCGAGCCGCGCACUCGCCGUGGCGUCGCCCUGGACAUCUUCCGGCUCCCGGCCUGGACGGCCAACCCUGACGCGAUCCCCCUCGCCGCCGACCUCUUCCUCCCGGUGCGUGAUGGCGUUGCCGUCGACGCGGACCCGGACGUUGCCGAGCGCCUUGGCAUGGACCUACCGCGUUUCCCAGUAGCGAUUCAUGUGGCCCGCUGCGAGGAUUUCCGUCGACCCGUCCCGCCGCCUCCGCCACCGCGUGUCUCUCCAGGCCCCGACUCUGAUGAUGGCAAUGGCCCCGGCCAGGGCUCUCCACCCUGUCCUGCGCCCUAG
rnacentral:rRNA from 1 species